rnacentral:rRNA from 1 species
AGGAAUAUUGGACAAUGGGCGAGAGCCUGAUCCAGCCAUGCCGCGUGCAGGAAGACGGUCCUAUGGAUUGUAAACUGCUUUUAUACGGGAAGAAACACCCCCUCGUGAGGGGGCUUGACGGUACCGGCAGAAAAAGGAUCGGCUCACCCCGUGCCCGCAGCCGCGGUAAUACGGAGGAUCCAAGCGUUAUCCGGAAUCAUUGGGUUUAAAGGGUCCGUAGGUGGAUAAUUAAGUCAGAGGUGAAAUCCUGCAGCUCAACUGUAGAAUUGCCUUUGAUACUGGUUAUCUUGAGUUAUUAUGAAGUAGUUAGAAUAUGUAGUGUAGCGGUGAAAUGCAUAGAUAUUACAUAGAAUACCAAUUGCGAAGGCAGAUUACUAAUAAUGGACUGACACUGAUGGACGAAAGCGUGGGGAGCGAA